GACAGCAGUCGCCACGGUAAUACGGAGGGUGCAAGCGUUAAUCGGAAUUACUGGGCGUAAAGCGCACGCAGGCGGUCUGACAAGUCAGAUGUGAAAUCCCCGGGCUUAACCUGGGAACUGCAUUUGAAACUGUCAGGCUGGAGUCUUGUAGAGGGGGGUGGAAUUCCAGGUGUAGCGGUGAAAUGCGUAGAGAUCUGGAGGAAUACCGGUGGCGAAGGCGGCCCCCUGGACAAAGACUGACGCUCAGGUGCGAAAGCGUGGGGAGCAAACAGGAUUAGAUACCCGAGUAGUCCCUGUCUCUUAUAC
rnacentral:rRNA from 1 species